UUGCUCCAAAAAGUCGAUAAUACCGGGGAGUGCAACGAUACGACGACAACACGACGAAUGUGCAACAACGCUCGAUAGAGGAAUUUCGAUAAAUACUUAUGAUUGCAUCUGUUAAAAAUAAAAGGCGAAAUUUCGUUGCACAUAUUAAAUUGUACAUCUUGGGAACACGAUGAAAUUUAACAAGACACGGACACCAUUUGAAAUUUAUCACGGACUGGUUUUUAAACGAAAGAAGCAACCCGAUGCUCCUCAUCUGCUGCUAAUCUUCGUGAGAAUGCAACGAUCUUCGUGUAACUUAACGAGUGCCGACAAUAUUUGGAAUACGUAAGCGACUGAUCGAAGAGGGAACCGAUAAUGCGUCCUUUAUUACGCCGAUUUUCGUAAGAAUGUGGUAGAAUUUAAUGAGAGCUUCUCGGAAGAAAUCGGCGGCUCGAUAGCCGCUUAGGGGGCAGAAAAUGAACGGCUGCUCCUCGAAAGAGUAACCUGAAGAAUGUAGCCACCGGUGGACAGGUAAAGAGACGAAUGGCCGCCCGGUGCAACACGACCUCGAUUUUGUUUCGACGUCGAACAGUGUGCAAUUAAUUUCUGGCCAUACGGAUAUGUUGUAUGACUUCGUGAACGAGCAACAAUAUAGACAACGAUCGUAACUCAAAGCUGACUCGCUUGUUUCAUUGACAAGCAGAUAAUUGCCACUUGUCUGCUGUUGGUUAAAUCGUGCGCUCGCGGAAGAAAGGCUCUUUAAGUUUUCCUUUCUCAAGGUUGAAAUGGAUAAAAGAAUAUUAAUUUGGAACCAGUGACGUUUGUUUACACGAAUACAUUCGGUAUUACUUUAAAUAACAAUCUUUUACGUUUCG